AUCUAAGUACCCCGAGGAAAAGAAAUCAACCGAGAUUCCCCCAGUAGCGGCGAGCGAACGGGGAGCAGCCCAGAGCCUGAAUCAGUGUGUGUGUUAGUGGAAGCGUCUGGAAAGGCGUGCGAUACAGGGUGACAGCCCCGUACACAAAAAUGCACAUAUUGUGAGCUCGAUGAGUAGGGCGGGACACGUGGUAUCCUGUCUGAAUAUGGGGGGACCAUCCUCCAAGGCUAAAUACUCCUGACUGACCGAUAGUGAACCAGUACCGUGAGGGAAAGGCGAAAAGAACCCCGGCGAGGGGAGUGAAAAAGAACCUGAAACCGUGUACGUACAAGCAGUGGGAGCACGCUUAGGCGUGUGACUGCGUACCUUUUGUAUAAUGGGUCAGCGACUUAUAUUCUGUAGCAAGGUUAACCGAAUAGGGGAGCCGAAGGGAAACCGAGUCUUAACUGGGCGUUAAGUUGCAGGGUAUAGACCCGAAACCCGGUGAUCUAGCCAUGGGCAGGUUGAAGGUUGGGUAACACUAACUGGAGGACCGAACCGACUAAUGUUGAAAAAUUAGCGGAUGACUUGUGGCUGGGGGUGAAAGGCCAAUCAAACCGGGAGAUAGCUGGUUCUCCCCGAAAGCUAUUUAGGUAGCGCCUCGUGAAUUCAUCUCCGGGGGUAGAGCACUGUUUCGGCAAGGGGGUCAUCCCGACUUACCAACCCGAUGCAAACUGCGAAUACCGGAGAAUGUUAUCACGGGAGACACACGGCGGGUGCUAACGUCCGUCGUGAAGAGGGAAACAACCCAGACCGCCAGCUAAGGUCCCAAAGUCAUGGUUAAGUGGGAAACGAUGUGGGAAGGCCCAGACAGCCAGGAUGUUGGCUUAGAAGCAGCCAUCAUUUAAAGAAAGCGUAAUAGCUCACUGGUCGAGUCGGCCUGCGCGGAAGAUGUAACGGGGCUAAACCAUGCACCGAAGCUGCGGCAGCGACGCUGAUGCGUUGUUGGGUAGGGGAGCGUUCUGUAAGCCUGCGAAGGUGUGCUGUGAGGCAUGCUGGAGGUAUCAGAAGUGCGAAUGCUGACAUAAGUAACGAUAAAGCGGGUGAAAAGCCCGCUCGCCGGAAGACCAAGGGUUCCUGUCCAACGUUAAUCGGGGCAGGGUGAGUCGACCCCUAAGGCGAGGCCGAAAGGCGUAGUCGAUGGGAAACAGGUUAAUAUUCCUGUACUUGGUGUUACUGCGAAGGGGGGACGGAGAAGGCUAUGUUGGCCGGGCGACGGUUGUCCCGGUUUAAGCGUGUAGGCUGGUUUUCCAGGCAAAUCCGGAAAAUCAAGGCUGAGGCGUGAUGACGAGGCACUACGGUGCUGAAGCAACAAAUGCCCUGCUUCCAGGAAAAGCCUCUAAGCAUCAGGUAACAUCAAAUCGUACCCCAAACCGACACAGGUGGUCAGGUAGAGAAUACCAAGGCGCUUGAGAGAACUCGGGUGAAGGAACUAGGCAAAAUGGUGCCGUAACUUCGGGAGAAGG
rnacentral:rRNA from 1 species